CAGAGGGUGCGAGCGUUAAUCGGAAUUACUGGGCGUAAAGCGCGCGUAGGCGGCUUUGCAAGUCGGGUGUGAAAUCCCCAGGCUUAACCUGGGAACUGCAUUCGAGACUGCAUUGCUAGAGUAUGGGAGAGGGGAAGUGGAAUUUCCGGUGUAGCGGUGAAAUGCGUAGAUAUCGGAAGGAACAUCAGUGGCGAAAGCGACUUCCUGGACCAAUACUGACGCUCAUGUGCGAAAGCUGGGGAGCAAACGAGGAUUAGAUACCCUGGUAGUCCACGCCAUAAACGAUGAGAACUGGAUGUCGGGAGGGUCUGGCCUCUCGGUGUCGUAGCUAACGCGUUAAGUCUCCGCCUGGGAGUACGGCCGCAAGGUUGA
rnacentral:rRNA from 1 species